rnacentral:lncRNA from 1 species
CCAAUUUCUUUUCCCUCUCUUUUCCGUUCCGUCCAAACCCAGCCGGCCACACAAGCUGCCGGUCGUCCCUUUCUUCUUCCUUCCGGUCGUCCUUCUUUUCUUCUUCGGAUCUAAACAGUCGCCGCCCAUUCUUUUCCUCUCUUUUUCUUCAGUUCGCCACAACCCAGCUGCCAACCAUCUCCCUUCUCCUUCAUUUUUUUUUAUUUUCUGACGCCACCCACACCCUCUGCUCCGAUCUACCUCCAUUAUGCAAUGUACUACCGUCACGCGACUCCCCACCUCCCAACCGCGAAGUGUAAACAGCUUUGCCUCGAUCUGUUUGGCACAAUUUCUGCCUUUAGGUUCAAUCCCUACUGUUUUUCUUGUUUUUACUGUGGAUGGUUGAAGUUGUUGAUGGAAAUUGAAGUUCGAUUGUGAUUGUUUCAAAG